CAGUGUUCCUGAUUAAGGUUAAGUCUUCUUGAAGAUUGGUGUACUGAACAAUUGCCUGGCUAACGCUUCCCUAACCCACGUCAAGCCACGAUCAUGUUUCAGACCUGAAACUAUGCGUCGGGAACCAAGAAGAGAGACAGACUUGAGAGUGAGGGACUAAAGAAGCAGACAGAUGCGAAAAUCUCUGCUCUAUGCAGCGUCCAGCCACUGUUUUUCCUCAGGCAUCCUUGGAGUCAUGCCUUGCACAUGCUCUAUUCCGGGGUCAACCAAGUAUUUAAGGGAAAUGGAAUAUCUCCUGGUGGAACAAUCAAAAUGAUCCUAAAGGCCAUGUCUUUGCAAAGCCAAAAUGAUCCGCAAAAACUUAAGCAUAUUGUCUCAAGUCCAGAAUCAAUCUCUCUGAAAAAAAAGAGGAAUUCGUGUUUCACAGAGGGAAGAGACGAAAAAGGUUUAAUGUCAUACGAGCUUUGGGAGAACUUCCUUGGGAUAGUACGACCAGAAUGGCUGCUCUUGUCCCAAAUCCUGGCUACAGCUAAGAAGAGAAUCACACACAAAGCCUUAACCACUCUGCUCAGAGGAGACUGGAGCCUUUCAAAUAUUUUGGAUGGCCGUUGCCCAGGUGGCCCUGAAUCAGGCUGCCUGCUGAGAAUCUUUGACUAA
ensembl:lncRNA